GAUGAACGCUGGCGGCGUGCCUAAUACAUGCAAGUCGAGCGAACAGACGAGGAGCUUGCUCCUCUGACGUUAGCGGCGGACGGGUGAGUAACACGUGGAUAACCUACCUAUAAGACUGGGAUAACUUCGGGAAACCGGAGCUAAUACCGGAUAACAUUUUGAACCGCAUGGUUCAACAGUGAAAGACGGUCUUGCUGUCACUUAUAGAUGGAUCCGCGCCGCAUUAGCUAGUUGGUAAGGUAACGGCUUACCAAGGCAACGAUGCGUAGCCGACCUGAGAGGGUGAUCGGCCACACUGGAACUGAGACACGGUCCAGACUCCUACGGGAGGCAGCAGUAGGGAAUCUUCCGCAAUGGGCGAAAUCCUGACGGAGCAACGCCGCGUGAGUGAAGAAGGUCUUCGGAUCGUAAAACUCUGUUAUUAGGGAAGAACAAAUGUGUAAGUAACUAUGCACGUCUUGACGGUACCUAAUCAGAAAGCCACGGCUAACUACGUG
rnacentral:rRNA from 1 species